rnacentral:rRNA from 1 species
GAUGAACGCUGGCGGCGUGCCUAAUACAUGCAAGUCGAGCGAACGGACGAGAAGCUUGCUUGUCUGAUGUUAGCGGCGGACGGGUGAGUAACACGUGGAUAACCUACCUAUAAGACUGGGAUAACUUCGGGAAACCGGAGCUAAUACCGGAUAAUAUGUUGAACCGCAUGGUUCAAAAGUGAAAGACGGUCUUGCUGUCACUUAUAGAUGGAUCCGCGCUGCAUUAGCUAGUUGGUAAGGUAACGGCCUACCAAGGCAACGAUGCAUAGCCGACCUGAGAGGAUGAUCAGCCACACUGGAACUGAGACACGGUCCAGACUCCUACGGGAGGCAGCAGUAGGGAAUCUUCCGCAAUGGGCGAAAGCCUGACGGAGCAACGCCGCGUGAGUGAUGAAGGUCUUCGGAUCGUAAAACUCUGUUAGUAGGGAGGAACGUAUGUGUAAGUAACUGUGCAUAUCUUGACGGUACCUACUCAGAAAGCCACGGCUAACUACGUG